rnacentral:SRP_RNA from 1 species
GGCGGGUCGCCCCGCAUUGCACGGUCGUGAAUCUGGUCAGGUCCGGAAGGAAGCAGCCACAGCGAAUCUCUGCAAGUGCCGGGGGAACGGCUCGCCACC